rnacentral:rRNA from 1 species
UACGUAGGGUGCAAGCGUUGUCCGGAAUUAUUGGGCGUAAAGAGCUCGUAGGCGGUUCGUCGCGUCGGCUGUGAAAACCUGAGGCUCAACCUCAGGCCUGCAGUCGAUACGGGCGGACUUGAGUACUGCAGGGGAGACUGGAAUUCCUGGUGUAGCGGUGAAAUGCGCAGAUAUCAGGAGGAACACCGGUGGCGAAGGCGGGUCACUGGCCCGGUACUGACGCUGAGGCGCGAAAGCGUGGGGAGCAAACAGG